GAUGAACGCUGGCGGCGUGCCUAAUACAUGCCAGUCGAGCGAACAGACGAGGAGCUUGCUCCUCUGACGUUAGCGGCGGACGGGUGAGUAACACGUGGAUAACCUACCUAUAAGACUGGGAUAACUUCGGGAAACCGGAGCUAAUACCGGAUAAUAUAUUGAACCGGAUGGUUCAAUAGUGAAAGACGGUUUUGCUGUCACUUAUAGAUGGAUCCGCGCCGCAUUAGCUAGUUGGUAAGGUAACGGCUUACCAAGGCAACGAUGCGUAGCCGACCUGAGAGGGUGAUCGGCCACACUGGAACUGAGACACGGUCCAGACUCCUACGGGAGGCAGCAGUAGGGAAUCUUCCGCAAUGGGCGAAAGCCUGACGGAGCAACGCCGCGUGAGUGAUGAAGGUCUUCGGAUCGUAAAACUCUGUUAUUAGGGAAGAACAAAUGUGUAAGUAACUAUGCACGUCUUGACGGUACCUAAUCAGAAAGCCACGGCUAACUACGUG
rnacentral:rRNA from 1 species